rnacentral:rRNA from 1 species
GAUGAACGCUGGCGGCGUGCUUAACACAUGCAAGUCGAACGAAGCAUAUUUAUCUAAUCCCUUCGGGGUGAAGAAAAAUAUGACUUAGUGGCGGACGGGUGAGUAACGCGUGGGUAACCUGCCUUAUACAGGGGGAUAACAGUUGGAAACGACUGCUAAUACCGCAUAAGCAUACAGUGUCGCAUGACACAGUGUGAAAAGAUUUUAUCGGUAUAAGAUGGACCCGCGUCUGAUUAGCUAGUUGGUGAGGUAGUGGCUCACCAAGGCAACGAUCAGUAGCCGACUUGAGAGAGUGAUCGGCCACAUUGGGACUGAGACACGGCCCAAACUCCUACGGGAGGCAGCAGUGGGGAAUAUUGCACAAUGGGGGAAACCCUGAUGCAGCGACGCCGCGUGAAGGAUGAAGGUUUUCGGAUCGUAAACUUCUAUCAGCAAGGAAGAUAAUGACGGUACUUGACUAAGAAGCCCCGGCUAACUACGUGCCAGCCGCCGCCGUAACAC